AACUUUCAGCAAUGGAUCUCUAGGCUCUUGCAUCGAUGAAGAACGCAGCGAAAUGCGAUAAGUAAUGUGAAUUGCAGAAUUCAGUGAAUCAUCAAAUCUUUGAACGCACCUUGCGCUCCUUGGUAUUCCGAGGAGCAUGCCUGUUUGAGUGU
rnacentral:rRNA from 2 species